rfam:Hordeum vulgare subsp. vulgare, WGS project CAJW01000000 data, contig: morex_contig_1121174
AAGAGCGCAGUACAACGGGGACGCAGUACAACGGGGAGUUGUAUGCUGCGUUCGGGAAGGAUGAAUCGCUCCCGAAAAGGAGUCUAUUGAUUCUCUCCCAAUUGGUUGGAUCGUAGGGGCGAUGAUUUACUUCAC